GAGGGGGUGACUAGUGACAGAGUGAGGGAGGGAAUGGGUGACUAGUGACAGAGUGAGGAAGGGGGUGACUAGUGACAGAGCGAAGGAGGUGGUGACUGUCACUAGUCACCCCAUCCAUCCCUCUGUCACUAAUCACAACCUCCCUCACUCUGUCACUAGUCACAACCUCCCUCACUCUGUCACUAGUCACCCCCUCCCUCUCUCUGUCACUAGUCACACCCUCCCUC